UUGUGUGUGAAAAGGGCAUUUGGUGGAUGCCUUGGCACUGAGAGGCGAUGAAGGACGUGGCACGCUGCGAUAAGCCUCGGGGAGCUGCGAGCAGGCUUUGAUCCGAGGAUGUCCGAAUGGGGCAACCCAACCCUUCGGGGUUAUCGUGCGCUGAAUCCAUAGGCGUACGAGGCGAACCCGGUGAACUGAAACAUCUCAGUAACCGGAGGAACAGACAUCAACAGAGAUUCCGCUAGUAGUGGCGAGCGAACGCGGAACAGGCCAGUGGCCUGGCGUAACGAACGGGAACGGCCUGGAAAGGCCGGCCGCAGCGGGUGACAGCCCCGUACCGGUAGGUUGCGUCAGGUCCUUGAGUAGGGCGGGACACGUGUAAUCCUGUCUGAACGUGGGAGGACCACCUUCCAAGCCUAAAUACUCCUCAGUGACCGAUAGUGAACCAGUACCGUGAGGGAAAGGUGAAAAGCACCCCGACGAGGGGAGUGAAACAGUCCCUGAAACCGGAUGCCUACAAGCUGUCGGAGCCCCCCAUAUCUUCGGAUGGGCGGGGUGACGGCGUACCUUUUGUAUAAUGGGUCAGCGACUUUAUUUAUGCAGCGAGCUUAAGCCGUUAGGUGGAGGCGCAGCGAAAGCGAGUCUGAACAGGGCGCUGAGUUGCAUGGAUAAGACCCGAAACCAGGUGAUCUAGCCAUGAGCAGGUUGAAGGUGCGGUAACACGCACUGGAGGACCGAACCCACGUCUGUUGAAAAAGACGGGGAUGACUUGUGGCUAGGGGUGAAAGGCUAAUCAAACCUGGAAAUAGCUGGUUCUCCGCGAAAUCUAUUGAGGUAGAGCGUCAUGUAUUGCCGCCGGGGGUAGAGCACUGGAUGGGCUAGGGGGACCCAAAGUCUUACCAAACCUAACCAAACUCCGAAUACCGGCGAGUAGAGCAUGGCAGCCAGUCUCAGGGUGCUAAGGUCCUGGGACGAGAGGGAAACAGCCCAGACCACCAGCUAAGGUCCCCAAAUCGUGGCUAAGUGGGAAAGGAUGUGGGAAGGCCAAAACAACCAGGAGGUUGGCUUAGAAGCAGCCAUCCUUUAAAGAAAGCGUAAUAGCUCACUGGUCUAAAUAAGCCAUCCCGCGCCGAAGAUGUACCGGGGCUCAAGCCACGUACCGAAGCUGUGGGCGCGACUUUGUCGCGCGGUAGCGGAGCGUUCCGUAAGCCUGCGAAGGUGUACCGCGAGGUAUGCUGGAGGUAUCGGAAGUGAGAAUGCUGACAUGAGUAGCGAGAGCAGUGUGAGAAUCACUGCCGCCGAAAAUCCAAGGGUUCCUGCGUAAAGCUGAUCUGCGCAGGGUGAGCCGGCCCCUAAGGCGAGGGCGAAAGCCGUAGUCGAUGGGAACCAGGUCAACAUUCCUGGGCCUGCUGGAGGUGACGAAGGCCAGACGUAGUUCUUCCUUAUCGGAUUGGGAGGGCUGCCAAGGACUUCCGGGAAAUAGCCCCAGCGUACAGACCGUACCCGAAACCGACACAGGUGGAUUGGUAGAGCAUACCAAGGCGAGUGAGCGAACGAUGCUGAAGGAACUCGGCAAAUUGCCCUCGUAACUUCGGGAGAAGAGGGCCCCGUUC
rnacentral:rRNA from 1 species